rnacentral:rRNA from 1 species
AACGAACGCUGGCGGCAUGCCUAACACAUGCAAGUCGAACGAGACCUUCGGGUCUAGUGGCGCACGGGUGCGUAACGCGUGGGAACCUGCCCUUAGGUUCGGAAUAACUCCCCGAAAGGGGUGCUAAUACCGGAUAAUGUCUUCGGACCAAUGAUUUAUCGCCUUUGGAUGGGCCCGCGUUGGAUUAGCUAGUUGGUAGGGUAAAAGCCUACCAAGGCGACGAUCCAUAGCUGGUCUGAGAGGAUGAUCAGCCACACUGGGACUGAGACACGGCCCAGAAUCCUACGGGAGGCAGCAGUGGGGAAUAUUGGACAAUGGGCGAAAGCAUGAUCCAGCAAUGACGCGUGAGUGAUGAAGGCCUUAGGGUUGUAAAGCUCUUUUAACCGGGAUGAUAAUGACAGUACCGGGAGAAUAAGCUACGGCUAACUCCGUG